rnacentral:rRNA from 1 species
CUACGGGGGGCUGCAGUAGGGAAUAUUGGACAAUGGGCGAAAGCCUGAUCCAGCCAUGCCGCGUGAUAGAUGAAGGCCCUCUGGGUUGUAAAUAUCUUUUAUCUGGGAAGAAACAAUCUUAUUCUUAAGAUCUUGACGGUACCAGAGGAAUAAGCACCGGCUAACUCCGUGCCAGCAGCCGCGGUAAUACGGAGGGUGCACGCGUUAUCCGGAUUCAAUGGGUUCGAAGGCUGCCUAGGCGGUCAGUGGUGAAAGCUCCGAGCUUAACUUGGAAACUGCCAUUGAUACUGCCAGUCUUGAAUGUCGUAGAGGUAAGCGGAAUGUUGCAUGUAGCGGUGAAAUGCUUAGAUAUGUUACAGAACACCAAUUGCGAAGGCAGCUUACUAUGCGAUGAUUGACGCUGAGGCACGAAAGCGUGGGGAGCAAACAGGAUUAGAUACCCUAGUAGUC